UACGGGGGGUGCGAGCGUUGUCCGGAAUCAUUGGGCGUAAAGCGCGUGUAGGCGGCUAGGUAAGUCUGCUCUGAAAGCCCGGGGCUCAACCCCGGGAGGCGGGUGGAUACUGUCUAGCUCGAGUCCGGAAGAGGAGUGUGGAAUUCCUGGUGUAGCGGUGAAAUGCGCAGAUAUCGGGAGGAACACCAAUUGCGAAGGCAGCUCGCUGGGACGUUACUGACGCUGAGGCGCGAAAGCGUGGGGAGCAAACAGG
rnacentral:rRNA from 1 species